AAAGUACAGUAUAGUAUUUAUCUCUGCAUUGUAGUGGAGUAGAAGUAUAAAGUGGAAAUGAAAAUACCCAUGUAAAAUAAAAGUACCUCAAAGUACAGACAAUAAUGGAAGAGGCAUUCAGAUCCUUUACUUAAUUAAAAUGGAGAAAUGCUGCUGGGAUAAUUGGAGCCUAUCCCUGCUGACAGUAGGCGAGAGGCGGGGUUCACCCUGGACUGGUCAGCAGUCGGUCGCAGGGCUGACACACAAAGAGAGACAGACAUUCCCACACUCACACCUAGGGACAAUUAAUGUGGAGUAGCCAGUUAACCUUAAGUGCAUGUUUCUGGGACUGGGAGAAAACCCAUGCAGACGCAGUUAGAAGAUGCAAACUCCACGCAGAAGGGCCAAGAGCCAGAGUCAGUCCUGGACCCUCUUGCUGUGACGUAACAGUGCUAACCAGCGCACCACUGUGUCAUUGUACAAAUUUUCUAUUAAAAGCACCGUCAGCAAAAUAGACUAAAUAAAUGAUAUGGAAAAGCUAAAGUAAAAUAAAUCACGGUGUAGAGUGUGAGUCAAAUUACACAGGUAUAUUAUAUUAUUUCCAGUCACAGAAUUCAACUUAAGUACAGUGACUUUACUUUUACUGUCUGUUUUCUGUUACUUUCUAUGUCCACUCCAUCACUUUUCAGCAUGCUGCACAACUUGCAGGUAUUGUACUUGUAAUGGAGUAUUUUUACAUUAUGAUACUGCUACUUAUACGUAAAGUAUCUGGAAAGGUCAUCCACCACUUAUUAUUGCAUUAUUUUUAUUGGUGCUUUAACAUGUAGGUAGAUUUCAUACAUUGUAUGUAAUGUCUGAAUCUGAAUAGAUGUCAAAUAAUGUGGUGGAGAAAGAAAAUAAAGUAUAUCCCACUGAAAUGCACAGAGCAGCACAAAAUAUGUACUCCAGUAAAGUACAAGUACCUGAGAAGUACAGUACUUGAGUAAAUGAGGACUCCAAAGGUUAUAGAACAGAACACUACCGUUCUGUGUUUCCAUUCCAAUUCUGUUUUUUUCAGUAGAAUGCAACUCUGUAGUUAUUCUGUUUGUAAGUUUCUGGCUUGCAGUCACUUCAUAGCGAGAAGAGCUCAGUGAAUCCACAAUUUCCUGCUUACACUUACGAAGCCACGCCAUAUUUUAACUCUUCAUCAAACAGUCGUUGAUUUCUCUUCAAAUUAUAGAGAAGGACAUUAAGGUCGUCUGAAUUGAGCUGUGGGUCCCAGUUGGUCCCGGUUGGCCUCCCAGAUCCUCCCUGCGUUGCAUCGCCUAAAACUAUAUCAUCAGCUAUGGCACGACGAAGCAGUCGCUUGCUUUCAAUGGGCUACUAUGACGAAAAUGACAGACCUCGGAUUUCAUACAAGGAGACCUUAUACAAGGUCUUUCAACGGAAGAAGGGUCGUCGCAAGUCUGGAGCCAACAUUUCAAACAAAUCGCUUAGCAGCACAAGCAUUUUCUCAAUCCGGUCCGGCCUUCGCUUUAUCAUCCUAAUGUGUUUUGG